rnacentral:rRNA from 1 species
GGAAGGGGUGUAUUUAUUAGAUAAAAAUCAACUUUGUUGGUGAAUCAUAAUAACUUCUCGGACCGCAUGGCCUCGUGCUGGCGGUGCUUCAUUCAAGUAUCUGCCCUAUCAACUGUCGAUGGUAGGAUAGAGGCCUACCAUGGUUGCAACGGGUAACGGGGAAUAAGGGUUCGAUUCCGGAGAGGGAGCCUGAGAAACGGCUACCACAUCCAAGGAAGGCAGCAGGCGCGCAAAUUACCCAAUCCCAACACGGGGAGGUAGUGACAAUAUGUAACAAUAUACGGCCUUAUACGUCGUAUAAUUGGAAUGAGUACAAUUUAAAUCCCUUAACGAGGAACAAUUGGAGGGCAAGUCUGGUGCCAGCAGCCGCGGUAAUUCCAGCUCCAAUAGCGUAUAUUAAAGUUGUUGCAGUUAAAAAGCUCGUAGUUGGACCUUGGACCUGGACAGGCGGUCCGCCUCACGGCGAGUACUGUCUUGCUGGGUCUUUCCUCUUGGUGAUCUGUUGUUUCGGCAGCGGGGAACCAGGACUUUUAC